rnacentral:rRNA from 1 species
UACAGGGGGGGCAAGCGUUGUUCGGAAUUACCGGGCGUAAAGGGUUCGUAGGUGGCCAGCUAAGUCAGACGUGAAAUCCCUCAGCUUAACUGGGGAACUGCGUCUGAUACUGGAUGGCUUGAGUGUAGGAGAGGAAUGCGGAAUUCCAGGUGUAGCGGUGAAAUGCGUAGAUAUCUGGAGGAACACCGGUGGCGAAGGCGGCAUUCUGGACUACAACUGACACUGAGGAACGAAAGCCAGGGGAGCAAACGGG